rnacentral:lncRNA from 1 species
CACGGGAUUAGGGGAGGGUGGCAUUUCUUGGUGAAAUUCUAUUAAAAAUUGGCUAAAAUAAUUCAGCGUUUUAAUCACACGUACUAAUUUUAUGGUAGACUUUCCUUUAAAAGCUCUGCAAUUAGUGGCUGGAAUUUUUCACAAAUCAGCUUUGGUCAGCUAUGGUUAUUAUUGAAAACAAGCAAAAAGUUAAAACUGUUGCACAGCUUCCAUGGGUGGAUUUAAAAAUUAUGAUUUUAUACUGGCCACCAAAACACAAAGUGUUAAGUUUUUACAUUUCUCAAUGGUCUGCUCCUGAGAGCAACUGGACAAAGUUUGUUAUAGUAAAGGUUUUAUUAGAGUCCGGGCUAAAAUCAGUGGCACAAGAUAUAAGUUUUCUUUCAACUACAGAGAAUGAAACAGAAGUUGACUCUGAAGAAAGUGAUUCAGAAAUUGAAGAGAAAAGUGAUAAAUGUGUUGCAAGUCCUGUUCUAAAACGCAAGCACUCAAUGCCUCUAAUACAAGAAGAAUGUACCUUUAUUUCCACAACUGAAAACCUCCUCCAUACACCAACAAGUAGCUCAAAAGAAACCAAUUCUAAAAAGUUGUUUUCAAUAUGUCCAUCACUGCCAAGAGAGUCUUUUUUGAUAAAUCCGAUAACAUCAACAAAAAAUACCUGCAGGAAAUUUAAAACAUACACUUAUGGUGGGACCGCUUUUUAAAGAGAUGUCCACUAAACAAUUUCAAUACACUGUGCUUAUGCGGCUAGCAAAAUUAGAAGAAAAUCAAAAAGACAUUUAUGAAACACUUGGAUUGUUUCAAGAUAAUGAUAUGGCGGCCAAUAGUUCAAGCAGUUUAGAAGUGCUUCGAAGCACUGAAGAAUUUGAGGCAGAGGAGAGUAAACUCAAAGACAAUGCAUAUCUCUAAAAGAAUGUUAUUUUAAACACUUACAUUUAUUUUAAAUAUUUACACUUACAGUUAUUUUAAAUAUUUGCAGAUUUAUAAAUUUUUAUACUAGUUCAUUUAAUAGAUUAAGAUUAAAAUAAAUAGAUUAAGGUUCACAAGUUAUUUUAAGUAUCAAGCUUAUAUGAAAUAUUUUCAAAAAAUAAACUUCAUUAUGUACGAAUAGCUUCAAAAACAAGAGAGAAAAAAAUUUAAAUUUUUUAUUGAAUAUAUUGAUUUAAUUUUUGUAUUUUCUAAUUUCCAUAGAAAAACAAGAUAAAAGAAAUUAGCGGAAAAGACGAAAGAACAGCAGUUAGGCUUGCUCUUGAUGCAAUAAUGUUACGAGAAAUACAGGAUAGCUUUAGUCUGUAUAAUUUGAAGAACAAGCAGUCUUUUUCAAAGGCACUUCACUAUUUGUGUUUAACAGGUGCUCUACUUAAGCACGAGCAGCAAGGAAGAUAAUCGUAAAGAUCGGUUAGAUUAUCACAUUAGUGAUAUUUUGAAACGAGCCGUUCGAAACAAAGCAAUUAGAAGUCCGAAACCUGUUGAUACAUAAUAGAUAAACGGGCCUUCUCAUAUAAAACUCGUUCGUUCUUUGUGGCUUCACAUCAGACAAGCAAGAUUAUUUAAGAUUGCUUUGUUUUUUGAUUUUGUAAAUAAAUUUUUCAAAUUCAUAA